UGGGGAAUUUUGCACAAUGGGGGAAACCCUGAUGCAGCGACGCCGCGUGAUUUAGAAGGCCUUCGGGUUGUAAAAAUCUUUUCUAUGGGAAGAAAAUGACAGUACCAUAGGAAUAAGGACCGGCUAAUUACGUGCCAGCAGCCGCGGUAAUACGUAAGGUCCGAGCGUUGUCCGGAAUCAUUGGGCGUAAAGGGUACGUAGGCGGGUAAGCAAGUUAGAAGUGAAAUUCUAUAGCUCAACUAUAGUAAGCUUUUAAAACUGCUCAUCUUGAGGUAUGGAAGGGAAAGUGGAAUUCCUAGUGUAGCGGUGAAAUGCGCAGAUAUUAGGAGGAAUCACGGUGGCGAAGGCGACUUUCUGGCCAUAACCUGACGCUGAGGUACGAAAGCGUGGGUAGCAAACAGG
rnacentral:rRNA from 1 species